GCUGAAGUGGAACCGGAGAGAGUUAACUUAACUUGGUAGCUAUAUUCUCUAGGGUCGCUUAACUGUGGCUGUGGGGGAUGGACGCUACCUGUUGUUGCACUGACUGCGUUGAUCGUGCUUUCCGAACAGUGUAGCGUUGCCCACUUUGUGGUGUCUUGCUCGCUGGGAGGUUUGUCAUGGUUAACGUAUAGCCUUAGUCCCGAGGGAGUCAGUGUGAAAGUUAACCACCUUUCCGACCCGUCUUGAAACACGGACCGAGGAGUGUUGGUUAUACGCGAGUCAAGGAGUGGUGAAAACUCUAGGGGCGGAAUGAAAGUAAAGACUAGUUAACUAGUUGACAUGGGAUCCGCUCUUCGGAGCGGCGCACCAUGGCCCUGUCUUGUCUGCUUGCAGAUGGGCAGCGGUAGAGCGUAUAGCUUGCGACCCGAAAGAUGGUGAACUAUGCUUGAGCAGGACGAAGCCAGAGGAAACUCUGGUGGAAGUCCGUAUCGGUUCUGACGUGCAAAUCGAUCGAUAGACUUGAGUAUAGGGGCGAAAGACUAAUCGAACUAUCUAGUAG
rnacentral:rRNA from 1 species